rnacentral:rRNA from 1 species
UACGUAGGGUGCGAGCGUUAAUCGGAAUUACUGGGCGUAAAGCGUGCGCCGGCGGUUUUGUAAGCCAGAUGUGAAAUCCCCGGGCUUAACCUGGGAAUGGCAUUUGGGACUGCAAGGCUGGAGUGCGGCAGAGGAGACUGGAAUUCCUGGUGUAGCAGUGAAAUGCGUAGAUAUCAGGAGGAACACCGAUGGCGAAGGCAGGUCUCUGGGCUGACACUGACGCUCAUGCACGAAAGCGUGGGGAGCAAACAGG